rnacentral:rRNA from 1 species
UACGAAGGGGGCUAGCGUUGCUCGGAAUCACUGGGCGUAAAGGGUGCGUAGGCGGGUCUUUAAGUCAGGGGUGAAAUCCUGGAGCUCAACUCCAGAACUGCCUUUGAUACUGGGAGUCUCGAGUCCGAGAGAGGUGAGUGGAACUGCGAGUGUAGAGGUGAAAUUCGUAGAUAUCGGGAGGAACACCGGUGGCGAAGGCGGCGAUCUGGGUCGAUACUGACGCUGAGGUGCGAAAGCGUGGGGAGCAAACAGG